rnacentral:rRNA from 1 species
CUACGGGUUGCACCAGUGAGGAAUAUUGCACAAUGGAGGAAACUCUGAUGCAGCAACGCCGCGUGGAGGAUGACGCAUUUCGGUGUGUAAACUCCUUUUAUGAGUCAAGAAAAUGACGGUAGCUCAUGAAUAAGCACCGGCUAACUCCGUGCCAGCAGCCGCGGUAAUACGGAGGGUGCAAGCGUUACUCGGAAUCACUGGGCGUAAAGGACGCGUAGGCGGGAUAUCAAGUCAGGUGUGAAAUCCUACAGCUUAACUGUAGAACUGCACUUGAAACUGGUAACCUAGAGUAUGGGAGGGGGAGAUGGAAUUAGUGGUGUAGGGGUAAAAUCCGUAGAUAUCACUAGGAAUACCUAAAGCGAAGGCGAUCUCCUGGAACAUAACUGACGUUAAGGCGUGAAAGCGCGGGGAGCAAACAGGAUUAGAUACCCGCGUAGUC